rnacentral:rRNA from 1 species
GAUGAACGCUGGCGGCGUGCUUAACACAUGCAAGUCGAACGAAGCAUUUGCGACAGAUUUUUUCGGAAUGGAGUUGCUUAUGACUGAGUGGCGGACGGGUGAGUAACGCGUGGGUAACCUGCCUUGUACUGGGGGAUAGCAGCUGGAAACGGCUGGUAAUACCGCAUAAGCGCACAAUGUUGCAUGACAUGGUGUGAAAAACUCCGGUGGUAUAAGAUGGACCCGCGUCUGAUUAGCUAGUUGGUGAGAUAACAGCCCACCAAGGCGACGAUCAGUAGCCGACCUGAGAGGGUGACCGGCCACAUUGGGACUGAGACACGGCCCAGACUCCUACGGGAGGCGGCAGUGGGGAAUAUUGCACAAUGGAGGAAACUCUGAUGCAGCGACGCCGCGUGAGUGAAGAAGUAAUUCGUGAUGUAAAGCUCUAUCAGCAGGGAAGAUAGUGACGGUACCUGACUAAGAAGCUCCGGCUAAAUACGUG